GGGGAUGUAGCUCAGUUGGUAGAGUGCUUGCCUUGCGUGCAGAAGACCCUGGGUUCAAUCCCCAGCACCACCA
rnacentral:tRNA from 1 species